AAAAAAAAGAAAAAAAAAAAGAAAAAAGAGCACGCUGAAAAAGUUUACCAAAAGAGAAAUGCUUCAAUAUAUGAGUUAAGUUAGAAUACUCUCAAAAGCACCAAGGGGUGGUGCUUUUACGUUUGUAACCAUUGGAUGAAGAGAUAUAAGGUUGAGAUGAUGGUCGUAGGUGGUGGUAGGUGGAAUAGUGUUUGAUCUAAGGGGUAUUAGUAAUUAAGGAGUAGAUCCAAAGUCUAGAAAUUUAGAAGUAUCAAGGGGUUGGUGCUUCUAAAAGUAUUCUAGCUCAAUUCAAUAUUGUGGCUCAAUUAAAUCUAGCAGCUCAUAUUUUAAGAAUCAAAUUGACUUUACGCAGUAGCAACUUGCUCAACAGGUUACCACUCAAAAUCAAUAGUAAGGAUAACAUUAGAAAAUAAAUACUAGCCAAUUACCAACUGUGCUAAACCCUAACUAAAUAUUUGUUUCCUUAUUUAAUUUUGUUACUUACCAAAUUAGAUAGUGGCUAAUUUGAUAAGUAACAAACCUUAAUAAAAUUUAAUUUAAAAUUUAAUUUGAGCUUAACUUUAUAAUUGUAUAGAUUAAAUUCAAAUUUAAUUUUACAUUUAAUUUUCAUAAAGAAAAAUUAUGUUUAAAUGAGUAGUACAUUUCAAUUCAAAUUAUUAAUUUAAUAUUAAAAUAACAUGAAAGUUCAAAUAUAUUAAUUUAUUUUAAAUUGUAAGUUAUGUUGUACUUAUAAACCCAACUUUUAUUAUUUAUUUAAAUAAAAGGCUUCUAUUUUUAAAUUAAAUUCAAACACAGCAACACUCCAAUGUCGUAUUACCACCAAAUUAAGAGAAAAAAAAUGAUAUAUCACUUAAAAAUUAAAAGUAUAGAUUAACUAUUACUUUAAAAAUGAAAGCAAAAAAGAUCGGAUUUCUCUGUCAAAAGAAAAAGAAAAAACAAAUGGACAUGGGUUUGGAGGAAGAUGAGAUGCUGUAGAUGGAAAAUUUACAAAAAUGGAAGGGGAAGAUGGAAUGUGGGACAUUAUGGAAAUGAAAAUGGGAAUAGAAAUUUACAAAAAUGUCAUUGAUGCUAACCCUACAUUAUGAGAAAAUUCUUUACCCUCGGAAUGAGGGUGAUUGGUACCCAAGGCAAUAAAAACCGGUCAUCCUCUAAAAUAAAAUGCAUCCUUAUCUUUCAUUCUAAAAAAAUUAAGGAUUAAAAUUUGUUGGUGUAUAUGAGCAUUGUUCUUGGCAAAAAUGUCUAUUUCUGAUAAUAAUAACAAGUAGCCAUAUAUCUUUUAUAUUAAUUUAAUUUCUUUAGUUUUAUGGAGUGAAGCAUAUAACUACUUAAUUAUUAGUUUUUAAAGAAUAAAAAUUGCAUAACCUGUGCGAAUUUUCGGAAUUGAAGAUAUGUUUUAAAUUUCGAAGCUCAUGUACUUUUAAAAGUAUAGGAACUCGAUGUACUUGUGAAUUUUUAGCAGUCGGAUUGCCUCAAGAUUUGUACAGUAUUAAUAAACGAUAUUUAAUUGACCACACCGUUAAUAGUGCUGCACGAAUCUUGAAGCGACCUGACGGCUAAAAAGUAAACUUCUGAUAUGAUUAUAAUUUAGUUUUAUGUAUCCCUCACUUAUCUAAAAAAAUAUAUGUAAUCUCUAAGUCAGCAAAGAUUAGAUACUUUUUGUGACUAAAGAUAGCAAAUUCUUCUACGCACAAUUGAAAAAAGAAUCACGCUCAUUUAGUUUGCCGAUUUGCGUGCUCAGAAAUCCAAAAAUAAUAUGAUAUAAUAUGAUAUAUAUAUAUAUAUAUAUAUAUAUAUAUAUAAGGGAAUUCGAUGCAUCAUUGGACUCUGCAUGUGACCGCAUUAUAGAGUUCCACUGAUCGUGAUCAACUGGUCAUAAUUAGUAAUGCACAGAAACAACCGCACCAUCAGCAUGACGAAAACAUUGCCCUUCUAAAAAAUAAUACAAGCGUAAAUUGAUAUUCUUAAAAAUUAAGUUCAUAAUAUUCCCAAAUUGAUAUUCUUAAAAAGUUCAUAAUAUUCCCAUGUCCCUUAUCCUUGCCUUGUGGUCAUGUAAUGUAGGAGCUAAUAACUGAUCAGUAUCAAUUAAGCUAUCUGACUUAAGAGCAUCUUCAUUAUAUAUCUCUCUUCAUGUAGAAGUUGUUAUAUAUUUUCUUUUUUUCUAAAAAAAUUAAUUUUCUUCCAAAAUUCUAAGGUAACGUUUGCUUUGGGAACAAAGGGGGGGAUAAGUUCUUGUUCCCCCUUUGUCCCAAACAAUGCGUUUGGUACCCGAGAAUAGUAAUUUUCGAGUUUCUGAAAUAAGUCGGUAUAAGGCUGGAACUGUUGUUCCAUCUUUUUUCCGGAACAAACUUGUUCCCAGGUGAGAAUAAAGUUAAUUAAAGUUUAAAAAUAAUUUUAAUUAUGGUAUUAAAUAAUUAAUUAAUUUAAUUAAUUAAUUAAAUUAUUAUUUAUUGAUUAAAUAAUAAAAUAAUUUAUUAGUUAUAAUUUUUAAUUAAAUUAUUAUUUAAAUUAUUAUUAAUAAUAACUUUAUUUAUUUAUUUAUAAGUUUAUAAUUAAUUAAUUAUUAAUUUAUUUAUUAAUUUAUAAUUGACUAAUUUAUCAUUAAUUUAUAUUUAAUUAAUUAAUUUAUUAUUUUUCAUAAUUAUUAAUAAUUAAUUAAAUAAUUUAAUAUUAAUUAAUUAAUUAAUUAGUAAUUUAUAAUUAUUAAAAAUUGAUUAUUAUCCAUUAUUUAAUUUGUUAUUAAUUAAUGUAUUAUUCUUUAUAAUGAGUAAUAAUUAAUUAGUUAAUUAAUAAAUUUAUUAUUAUUUAAUUAAUUUAUAAUUUAAAAUUAUUUAUAAAUUAUUAUUUAUUUUAUUAUUAAUUUAUUUAUUUAUUAUUUAUAAUUAUCAUUAAUUUAUUAUUUAUACUAUAUUACCUAAUUAAUUUAUUAUUAAUAGUUUAUUAUUUAUUAAUAGUUUAUUAUUUAUAAUUAUUUAUUAUUAAUUAGUUAAUUUAUUCUUAUUUUUAUUAUUUGUAAAUUAAUGUAUUAUUAUUAAGUAAUAUUUUGAUGUUAAUUAAUUAGAUAAAAUAAUUUUCAUUUAAAAUUAUAAUUUUUAUUCGUUUUGUUCUAGUCUAAUUAACCAUGCAAAUACUAUUUAUCUUAUUUUUAAGAACAAUCUAAUUUUCAUCGAAAUAUAAAAUUAAUUUAAUUUCUACUUAUAUCUGAACUUGUAUUUAUUCUUAAAAUAAAUAGUUUUAAUUUAUACCCGAGCUAAACACAGUAGGUCUUAAUAGUUCUGAGUCCCCACCAACGAGGAAUUCUACACUAUCACACUUGUACCACGUCAUCAAUAACAAGCCAAUCACAUUUCUUCUUUUCAAACAAAAGUACAAUAAAAAUAUUUUUUUACAAUUAUGAUGGGACAUAUAUUCUUAAAAGAUUAAUUUGAUUGAUUUAUUACGCCACGUCAUUAAUAUACCUGUUGCAUUCUAGAAUUUUUCCACACCAACACAUGCAUUCCUUCGUGAAGCGUCAACCACGAGUGGGUAACCGUACCCAAAUAUCAUCGUAAAAACCAAAUAUCAGGGAUAUGUGAAGCCAAAUUUUGGCGACCAGAGUCUUCCAAAGGAAAUUCAGGAAGAGGGACUUAAUUGGUUGCUGAGUCAACCGCAGAUACAGUAAAAUAUUGGAGAUGACGUGGGAUCCUCUUGUGAAGAAGAAGAUCGAGGAAGAUAAAAGAAAGCAAACUACACAGUUAUAUACAUAAUAAAUAUACAUAUAAAACAAUUAUAAGAGAUCAUUAUUAUUCUAACUCUAUAAAUCUUCAUCUAAAUAUCAACAAUCUACAAACACUAGCAACUUUGUGUUCUUAAAAGUAUAGAGGCACAGUCCUCUAUUUCUCUCUUUUUAUAUAGAGUUCAGCUACUAUACUCUUAUGAGUACAAUCGCCCUCAUACUUAUAAGUCAUUUUCGAUGAUAGAACUUCCAAAUUGACGAUCCAUAUAUUAUCUAAGAGUAUUUAAAAUUUUUAGAAAUCAAAUUUUAUAAUUUUUCGACAUCAUUUAUCUUACGAUCAAAAAAUUACAAGAUUGACAAUUUUUAACGGCUGGUGUAGAAUACUUGCUAGUUUACUGGUGUAAAAGAAUUGUAAUAAGUUGAAUUUUGAUAGAAAAUUCUAUUCACUAUCUAGAUAAAUAUCAACAACUCCGAUUUUAAAUUGAAGGAUCCGAUCAUCCAUUUCUAGUAUGUCGUUCAAUUUUGACUGUUCAUUUUAUGUCCGCUUGAUGAAUUUUACUAUAAUUUAGAAAAAUUACGAAAUUUAUUUUUUAAAAGUUUUAAAUAUUUUAGAUCAUAUUUAACUGGAUCGUCGAUUUGAAAACUCUGUUAUUGAAAAUAACUUAUGAGCACGUACGAAGGAUUCGAUACUCAUACGAGUAUAUUAACCUAACUCUCUCUCUCUCUCUCUCUCUCUAUAUAUAUAUAUAUAUGGUUGAUGACGUUGCCGGAUAAUCCACUGGGUGGUGGAAAACCACUGCGGAAUUGCAUGCUUUGUCGGUAGACGAUGAUAGGUGGCUGCGCCAACUCUGAACUCCAUUCGCUGUUGCCCUAAUAUGUAAUGUGUUGUAUUAACAUCAACCUAUUGCUUUGACUACUAACAUAUAUGGGCUUUUUUCUUUUAUUGUUUUUCGUUUUUAAUAUUUUACGUGGCUUCGAAACUUCGCGUCCCGCUAUAGUGCAAGCCCCACCACAGGGCAGUGCACAAGAUGUAAGGAUAAAUGAGUGUAGAGAAUAUUUUUUAUUUGUUAAGUGGAUGAGAAAACCAUCCCACCCUCCUCCAAAUUCUCAAUAUAUAUGCGAUGGUGUUUUUAUAAAAUAAGUAACUUAAUUUAAUUAUCUAACCCUACGUCUACUACGGAGUUUUUUUAACAUUUAGUUCGUUCAAAUAGUCUUUUAAAAUUUAUAUUUGCAGAAUUGGUCUUCCUGCAACGCGAGCGCCAUGCUGGAUGGGGGAGGGCCAUGUUGGAUUUAAGUUGAACAUGGUGAUAGUCACUGUAUUUAAACACAGUGAUUGUAUUACUGCUUAUAAAUACAGUAAAUCAAUCGCUGUGUGAUUCACCACAUUUUUAACACGUAAAUCAAUCAUCGUGUUCCUUAAGUUUAAACCUUCUACUGCACUUCUCUUUUCUCUUCUCCCGAACACUCAUCCCUCUCUCUCUCUCUCUCUCUCUCUCUCUCUCUCUCUCUCUCUCUCUCUCUCUCUCCAUGAGCCUCUUCUCCUCCAUGUAAUAUACUGAAUUUCAGUAUAUCGUACCGAACUUUGCUUAUAUUGAACAAAGUGCAGUCAAAAAAUGAAUAUGAAAGUAUUCUAGAAGAGUUUAAAGGUUUUAGAAUAAUUAGAUGUCAAUUGGAGCUAAACAGCACAAAAAUAGAUUUUUUUUUAGCAAAGGAAUCAGAGUCAUCAGACCUUUGGGAUCCGGAUGUUGGCAAGGGGAUCCUGAUUCUAAAACUACUGUUCAGACUCCAAACUUCAUUAUCUGAUCCUCAGGAAGGAGAUACGGACCUUCAGCUUGCAAACUCAGUCCAAUCAUUCAGGAUCUGGACCUUUACUAUGUAACAGGCAGAAUCAGACAUUCGGGAUCUGGACGUACCCCAACUAGUGUUAGAACUGAUAGAGAAAAAGUAUGAAGUAUAAAGAUGAAAAAGGCUUCAAGGCGUGUAGCGAUGCCACUCUCCUUAAGAUUUAAUCUAUCUCCAUCGUUCAAACAAUUUGGUGUGCACUGGGUCAACGAACAACCUCCAAGGAUACAAUGAAGCACAAAUUUUAAUUGCAUUUUCACUCACGAAGUCAUGCCUUUUAGCAUUCACUCGAUGAAGUUAUUAAAAAAAAUAGAAUUAGAAAAUAAGAAUGGAAUUAUUAUAAAUGAAGACUUUUCAAAUGUUUGUACUUCAACAACCAAUACUAUGGGCUUAUAUAGACCACGAACGGGUGCGUUGAAGUGACACUUUAUGAAUGGGUGUUUCGUGAAGUGACCUUUCAAUUGUGACUUUUCAUUUGAUCAUAACUAAUUAGUUAUAUAAGUCAAGUUCAAUGAAUUUAAGAAUUAAUUCCAACGGACAUAUGCUUGAAGAGGCAUACUAUAAAGUUGUGUCUUUUCAUACUAAUCCAUUCACCAAAAGUCAUUUCUUUUCACAUUCAUUCACUAAGAGUUGCAUCCCCUCACUAAAGGUUGCAUUCAUUCAGUAAGGAUUGCAUCCAUUUACUAAAAAUCAAAGAACAAAAUAUAUUAUUUUAAAAUUUUCCUUACAAUUCCCCACCAAAUUUUAAAAUACAUAAAAAUACAUAAAAAUACAAAAUAAAACAAAAUAAAAAAUCAAAGAUAAAAAAUUCUUGACAACUUGACAAAAUCAUAUGCAUAGGUGUAGGUGUAUUAAAACUUGAACCUACAUUUAGUGAAAAUACAUGAAAGUUAGUGAUAAUUGAAUGGUAGACAAGAUUUGAACCAAUAAUUAUUUUUUUGACUAACCGGACAUAUCUCACACAUAGAAACUUAUAAUCAAUCGAAUGCUUUAUUUUAUUGCUGACACUUUAUGGCCUUGUAUCUACAUCCUAUUUUAUGAAUGCUGUUAAAGUCAAGCCCUUAACUCUUAAAAGCGGCCGCACUUCACAUUCAUAUCGGUAGAUUCUACCAAAAGUGUUCCAUAUUUAACACUUCAGUAAAUACUAUUGUAGGUCUAUUAAGAACUUUAUUAGCUCAACCUUCCCUUUCAAUACGAAUACCAAGCACUUUACUUGGGAUGAAAAUUUUAUAUUAUAGUGCUUGCAAUCACUCCAUAUAAUGUACUUUGUGUCAUUGAAUUUAAGACUUGAUGAUGUUUCAAGUGUUAAGUCGAGUUUUCAUUAUUGGCGAUUUUGUAAUGUGGGCUUGAGACCCAUCCCCGUCGAUAUCUUGAAUAUCAAUUAUCUUGGAAGUCCUUUGGUCAACGGAUCCGCAAGAUUUUGGCUUGAUCUUAAUCAAUGGUAAUUAUGCCAUCUGAUAUCAGUUGUUUUACAUAGCUAUGUCUUAAAUCCAAUAUUCUUGACUUUUCAUUAUAUGUAUUACUAUAUGCUCUUGAGAGCGUAGCCUCACUAUCGCAAUGUAGUGAUAUUGGCGGCAUUGGUUUUGGCCAAAGUGGAAUCUCAUACAAUAAAUUUUUUAUCCAUUCCGCCUCCUUACUAGCAGAUGCUAGUGCUAUAAAUUCUGCUGCCAUUGUAGAGUCCACUAUACAUGUCUGUUUGGAACCCCAAGAAAUCGCACGUCCACCUAACAAAAAUAUCCAUCCACUUGUGGAUGCAUGAUCUUCUCGAUCUGUUAUCCAACUGGCAUCUGUAUAGCCUUAUCCACUAUAGAAAAUUUCAUAAUCCAUUGUCUUUUUCAAAUAUUUUAAAAUUCUGUAAAUAGCAUGCUAAUGUAUAUUACCCAGAUUACUAGUAAAUCUACUUACUUUAUACUAGUAAAUCUACUUAAUUUACCAACAGCAUAUGCAAUAUCAUACCUAGUACAAGACAUAACAUACAUCAAACUUCCAAUAAACUUAGAAUAUUCUAGUUAAUUAAUUGAUCUACCAGUGUUGCAAACUAGUUUUAGAUUAGAAUAAAAAAGAGUGGAUACUGGAGUACAAUCAAAAUAACCAAAAUUUCUAUGAAUCUUUUCAAUAUAAUGAGACUCGGAUAAAAAUAAAUUAUUAUUUUUAUGAAUAAUUUUAGUUUCCAAAAUAAUAUCAGCCUUGUAGAUACCUUUCAUAUCAAAAUUACAAGAUAAAAAGUUCUUAGUAUUUUCUACUUGCUGAAAAUUAGCAUCAAAAAUUAACUUGUCAUCAACAUAUAAACAAAUAAUAACACCUUUACUAUUUUAAAAUUUACUAUAAACACAUUUAUCAGAUUGAUUAAUUUUAUAACCAUUGGAAAGAACAAUCUGAUCAAACUUUUGAUGCCAUUAUUUAGAUGCUUGUUCAAGCCCAUUCAACGACUUAACAAGUGUACACACUUUGUGCUCUUGUCCAGGAACUACAAAACCCUCAAGCUAUUCCAUAUAAACUUCUAUCUUUGCACACAUGCCUUUUGGAACCCGAAUCAAUCCACCAAGCUCCGUCAUCUUUGAGAAUGUUAGCCUCGGAUAUCAUAGCCACAAAAUUUAUUUUGGAAUCUAGUGCAUUUUCCUUUUUGAGGAACCAACAUUCUUUCUUUUAAUGACCCGGUUUACCAUAAUGAAAACAUGCACUUUUCCUUUUCUUAUUUGUCGUGUGGUUGAUUGGAUGCUUGACUCUCUUUCGAUUUUCUUUCGUGGGUUGACCAAUUGAUUGAGAAUAUGUUGAAUUUCAUGUAAUUGAUCAAGAACGGAUCUACUAUCAACCAUUUUAUAGUUAUUAAAUUUACUAACAAGAAACUUCUUACUUAUGGCAUUCUCAGAUUUGUCUUUUUAUUCAAGACCUUCCUAUAGUUCUUUAGCCGUUUUCACAUUUUGGUAGACAUCGAAAAGCGCAUAUGACAUAGCAUUUAGAAUGUUGCCUCGGCAUAUAAUGUCAUCUUCAUCCCAUUUUUGUCUUCUACGAGUUUGUGCAAUAGGUUCAUCAUCAUUUUCUCUUGGUCUUGGAGUAGUGAGGAGAUAAGCAACUUUGAGAGUCGACAGAAGGAAAAAAAAAAAAAUUCUUCUACCAGCGCCUUAGUCAAACCAAUUAAUAAUUUAUAUAUAGAGUAAAUUUGUUUCAUGGUUUGUAGAAACCCUGAANAACUUCACGCCAUCAAAUCUUUCUAGUCUUAUAAAGUUUGUUGCCAUCUCUUAUAGAGUAGCAGUCAACAUUUUCGGAAUUAAGCCAUAUGAUUGUUAGAACAGAUAGAGAAAAGGUCUGAAGUAGAAAGAUGAAAAAGACUUUAAGGCGUGUAGCAAUGCCACUCUCCUUAAGGCUUAAUCCCCCGCAGCAUUCUUGCUCACUCCACCUCCUCCACAGAAGAGAAAAACUCCUUUUCCUUUUUUCUUUCACACUCUAACCCUAACUUCUCUCUAACGGUGGACUAACGGUGGAAAACUCAGUAGCACCAAGCGCUUGGUGCUAUCGAUAGUAUCCCAGCCGGACUCUCUCUCUCUCUCUCUCUCUCUCUCUCUCUCUCUCUCUCUCUCUAUAUAUAUAUAUAUAUAUAUAUAUAUAUAUAUAUAUAUAUAUAUAUAUAUAGAGUUGGGAUAGAAUACAUUAGAUAAGUAUUUGGCCAUUUUGCUAUCAAGUUUUUAAUCUUAGAUGAGAAAUUGUAAGAUUAUGAUAAGAUUAGUCCUUAGGGUUGAGUGGGGCCCCCUAGGGUUAAGUAGUCGUCACUGAGGGUAUAAUAUUAUAAAUCUAAUGGUUAGAAAUGAUCAAAGGAAUUGAUUCAAAGGAUAAAAACUUAAUAGCAAAAGCGGCAAAUACUCUUAAUAAUAUUCUAGCCCAACUCCAUUAUUAUAUAUAUAUAUAUAUAGAGAGAGAGUCGGCUAACUAUUUUUUAUGAGCAUUGGUUCUCUUAUACUCAUAAGUUUUCGGCCCUUAGAUUUAUUCCAUGAUCAUUUCCACCCGUUAAUCAUACUAUUCAACAACUAUCCACUAACUAGGGACCACUAUCAUUCUAAGUGGGGACCACAUCACCUAACCAGCACAUCCCAUCAAUCAACGGGUUAAAAUUUAUGAGUACAAGAGCGUUCUAUACUCAUAAGAGUAUAGUAGCCCCAACCUCUAUAUAUAUAUAUAUAUAUAUAUAUAUAAUAAUAUUAUAUAUUUAUACAGUAUAUUAGUAUAUUAUAGGUAUAUUAUUGAUAUUGGUCACGGCCCGAAAAUGCCCAAUACAUUUUUUUUUUUUGAAAACCUUGACCCAAAGGAAUGCCUUCACCCAAAGGAUGACAGACCUGCCACAAAUAUAGGAGACCCAUUGUUCAAACGGACAGAGCAUCCCCUGUAUUUGCACGACAUCGCACAAGCACAAGUACAACCACAAUCAUUCACUACACAACAUACUAAUACAUUUCCACAAGAAAACUCUUUUAAAACUAUUUUCCACUCGGAAACCUUUUCUUUAAAGACACUAUCACGAUGGGUAGAAAAUUAUUUUUACAACUCACAACCAGUUAUAAAAGCCAUAAUAUUUAACUUUAUAAAUCCAUAAACAUUCAACCGAAAUAAAACCACUAAACCAUAAAUGUCUAAGUUAUUUAUUUUGAAUAAGUAAGGAUAGAAACUAAACCAAUUCAAUCAGGUCAGAAGCUCUAUCGAUCGCUACUAAUGUGUCUCACGCCUCGUCACAACCCUCAUCGCCCGCAUCACCUGAAAAAUGGUGGGGGGUGAGAACAUAUAAACAUAUCUCCCCUCCCAGUGGGUACCGCAAGCCAACGAAGACGAGGAGUACACACUGAUACAUAGAGAUGUCAACGGGUCGGAUUCGGGGCGGAUUUUUUAAAAACCCGAACCCGAAUCCGACUCCAAACCCGAGACCCGAACCCGAACCCGAACCCGAACCCGAACCCGACGGAUUUUAAAAAUCCAUAUCCAAACCCAAACCCGACCAAAAAUCCGAAACCCGAACCCGAACCCAAACCCGAAAAUUUGAACCCGAAACAAUUAUUUCUUUUUUCAAUAUUUCAAAAUAUAUUAUAUUAAAUCUAAAUUUUUAAAAUACAAAUUCAAAUAUAACAUCAAAUUUUAUAUAUAUAUAUUAUAUAUAAUACAAAAUAAAUUCGGGUUCGGGUCGGGUUCGGGCCGGUUUCGUUUUCGGGUCGGGUACAAUCAAAAUCCAUAUCUGAAUCCAUAUCCGUCGGGUUUCUAUUUUUUAUAUCCAUAUCCGAACCAUAUCCAUAUCCAUCAGAUAUAUCCGUUUCAUUCGGGUUCGGGUUCGGAUAAAAUUUCGGGUAUCCAUACCCAUUGACAUCCCUAUCGGUACAAGAAGAGAUAAUCAAAAUUAUGAGCAGAUAUCACAAAUAUAGUAGCAAUAAUACCGGAAGGAAAGAGAACAGUAAUAGAACAUAUAACUACCACUACUGUAAGGUAGAACAGAAUGCAUACAUCGAUAUCAUAACUACAGUAGCAAUGAUGCAGGGGGUAAACAACAGUACAGAGGAAUAUAACUAGCCGCUAUUGUAAUACAGAACAAAGUACAAGUAUGUAUCAACCGGACGAUUAGUCCCAAAAAUACCCAGAAGCCGCCAUAUCGGUCCGAAGACCUCAGGCUAUGCCACUACCGCUCUAACUUGUAUAUGACCCUAGCAUAAGCUCCUGAGUCUAAAGGCAUAUGAUCCUAGCAUAAGCUCCUGGGUCUGAAAGGCAUAUAAUCCUAGCAUAAGCUCCUGGGUCACGGGUCGGAUGUACGACCACUUUUUCGAAAAAAAUACCUUCCCGCGGUGGAUCAAACCGCUGGUGUAUGUGAAAUGCAUAUGAGCAGUGGCGAUCGAUGCAAUAUGCUUAAUAACCCACUGUCGGCGGAUAGCCAAAGUAAAGUCCAACAAAGAGUAACCGACCAACCAGAUCAACCUCUAUCUCAAGGAUAGAACAAUAUCAGAGUAACUGACUAACUAGAUCAACCUCUAUCUAAAGGAUAGAAAAAUAUUAUCGACCAAUCAGAUCAAACAGAGCAAGUCAUGCAAGACACUAGAAAUGUCACCGACCACGAAGUCAACUAAUAUAAAAUCAUGUCACGUAUAAAUACGUGUGUCACCGACUAUAAGGUCACCAAAGUCAAGAUCGUCUACUAUAGACAUGUCAUGGAUGAGUCAAUCAUCAGGAAUACCGCUCUACUAUAAGAUCAUGACCAUAUGAAAUAGAAGUACCCGUAGAACAACGAACUACGAAGUCAAGUGGUAUACGAAAGCUCAAUCAACAUCAAGAAAUGAAAAGAGGUAGAAAAGGUAGAAAUCACUGAGUAGGCACCACUUUACCGACUUCGGAUCGAAAUACCCACCUGUAUGAUAUCGUGCUUGUCUCUGGCUGUGGAAGAUCAUCAACCGGACCUACGGAGGGUCCACCGGAUUAGUAUCUAACCCACAUAUAGAAAAUACUAAACUCACAACCCUACAAUUAAACCUACAAAAAUCGGUUUUCCAAAAUCGAUUAACGUAACUCGCCGGAAGUCCUGAAAGUUGUCCCGGGCUUCCACCGGGACCCACAAAUUGUCCUGGAACUUACCGACUCAUGCCACUAGUCACCCGCUGCCACAAAAAACCAUAUUAAAGGUGUCCUGGCAGCAAACACGAAGGCUCACAUCGAAACAAUUAUUGACGGAUAACCGUUCUGAUUCGGGUUCCCGAAAGUGUCGAUUUCGGCAUCGGAACCCACCGUUGUUCACCCGUCGUCUCCGAACCUCCGAAAUGACGUAAGUGACCAGCCAACCAGGCUCAACGACAAAGUAUAGUAUACUCUAGUAUCGUCAGAAGAAAUCCGAACCAAAACUGCGUUCUGUUGGCGAAUUUCGUUGAAAAACGCACCGAAAAUCAAUAUUCAAUUUCCACGAAGGGCAUCAGACCUUGGACAAUCAGUCCAGAGGUCAUCUGCAGCCUACAUAUACUGCCCACAGCACCCAUGGAGUGCACAAUUGCACAAAAGCCCUUACUAUUCCAUAAAAUCACAUUAUUUUAUGUGAUUUAUCGGAUUUUAUGGGUUGUUACAGCAAACCGAGAGCUUUUGAGGUAGGCCGAGACAUGUACUAACAGGUCUCGACAUGCAGGAGGUUGUGUUCACGAUUCGGAGCACAACCGUCCACUGUGGAGAGCGCGGAAGCGACUUGAAAAUCUGCGAACCCUGCGCGCUGAAACUAAAAUGCAUAUAAUUCACCAAUCCGAGGCUCGUUGACCCCAAAUGAGGUAAGCACUGUGAUUAACACUGAUCGACGAUAACCGUGCUCACCUUCGGAGGCAUCGGAACAACCUUGGGUCGUCGGAAUAGUGGAGACAACCCAAAAACUCCCAAAAACAGCUUCAUUUAAGUUUACCGGGCAGAGGGGGCCUAGGGCGCGGCUUGUGGUGGACGCACCGGCGGCAGGCGGGUGCAGCCGGCAGGGGGAGGUUGGGACGCGCGUAGGCCGGCGCCGGAAGGCGGCGGUGGCUGCCGGCAAUGAUGCCCUAGCCGCACGGGAUGAUGGAGAGCUCAGCUCCAGUCCGACCGGUAGGGGGCUCCAGUGGCGGGAGUGCCGGCAGCGGGCGGGUGCGGCCAACUAGGGAGAGCCGGCACGCACAUCGGCCGGCGGCGGGAGGCAACCGGAGGAGCGAACGGCGAUGCCCUAUCCCACACGAGGUGAGGGGAGCUAGGGCUCAGCUUCUCCGGCAACGGUGGCCAAGGGGCGGCGCCGAUCGGCGACGGGGGUCUCCUGGGGUCGCUGGGAGGGGAGGCAGGGCACCAGGCGACGGUGGCGACGACGCGCGACAUCGCACGACCGCCCGAGCUUUGUUCGGUCAGAGGAUCGUCACGGCGGCGCCCUGGACGCGUGGCGGCGGUGGCGACCACUCUGAUCGGGCACGAGAAAGGCCGAGGACUAAGAAGAGGGUUCAAAAGGCCUCGGGGUGCCGUGGGGAAGCCAGCACAAGGACUCCUACUCCGCGCAUGCCCUAGUUCCACCCCGCAAGUCACAGGGCCGCGGCGGCGCACGGUGGGGGCGCGACUGCUAGGGGAAAGCCUUGACGGAGGUCUGGCGACGCCGACUGUCAUGCCCUGGAUUCCUCGUUUCCCCGGGCACGCUAACAGACUCGCCGUAUACAUAGAAAUUUUCCCUGUAUAAAGCGAAGCUGUACAAGAACCUGAAAUAANAUCUGAAUUAACUAGAUCCUAACGACCUAAUGCUAAGCUUUGAUACCAACUUAAUCUGUCACGCCCCGAAUUCCUCGUUUCCCCGGGCACGCUAACAGAUCCGCCGUGUACAAAAAAAUGUUUCCUGUAUACGGAGUGAAGCUGUACAUGUAUCUGCAAUCAUACAGUACUACAACCCAGUAGCAUAGAGCUGCUAGAAAGAAACAAAACAUAAAUAAAACUGAAGUUCACUAUACAUACAUAACAUCCAGAUGUACAAAACGCUCGCCCAAGCGAGAUACAACAUAAAUAUGUAUAAGAACUCAAAACUACCACUACCUGUAGCUGGUAUACUCUAGAUCAGCAACAACUGGGAAGGGAUCUAACUGGCAACUCCCUUUUCACGGUCUGAAAUAGCAGCAGCAGCAGCCGCAGAAGAAGGCUCUGCAAAAGAUUCCAACAACUGGGCGUGAGAACUACUGCAAAAAGAAGUAGUCCUCAGUGGGUACCGCUACCGACCUCAACGGCUCGCCCACUAAGUUUACAGAUAUAUGCUCAAAUGAUAGUAAAAAAACUGGAAAUAAUCUACAGCUACAUGCCACUAUACUAUCAUGAUUCGACACUACUAUCUGUAGAAUAAAACAAGCUCAGACCCAAACUCACUAGGGACUGUAAACAUAUCCGUCCCAGGGAUUGUGAGCACACCCGUCCCGUCUGUCGAAGCUAUACGGCUACCUCCACACUAAACAGUCUGUGGAGAGCAAGUCCAACCAGGACACAAUGACACCAACGCAAACGCACAAAGCCCGAGUCCGGAGUGGCACUCGUGGGCACUACGCAACCGAGUAUGCAAGUGUAUCUCUGUCGAUCUCAAUCAGGCUCUCACAGGCUAUAGUCAAAUAAAUAUGGUCUAACGGGUCUAACAACCAAACCCACGUGCCCUCGGUACAAUCUGAUGCAAAAACAGUAAUCUGGGUCAACCGAUAACCCCGACGGCACCCGACAGUCCGAAAGAGCCUAAACACUGCUGUAAAAAAAUAAGCUCGGCAUCUCAACACGAGCGUAAAUACAUUCUAAACUACCCGGAAUAUCCACCACUCUCAAAUUGUGGUGACACCAACAAACUAGGCUCAUAGAGCUAAAUCUGAUAGUUUAAGCAUAUGACGAUGUAAAAUCGGCAGUUUUCUCCUAAGUCAAAACCAAGUCCAACAUGUAUAUUUAAUCAAUAUUUCAAGCUCCCAAUUUAGAUUCCACUAAGCAUGUAAAUCAUAAAUUUGAGCUAAUUACAUUAAUCAAACCGAUAAUGAUACAUGUCGACAAUAUUACUUAGAAGGAAAAUCCACCGAAUUCGGUAAGUAUCACAAUUAACCCACCUCUCGCGCAACUCCACGGCAGCAAGAAGGUCACGAAAACACUGGUAAUCUCUGUUGUAAUCACCACAGGACCAGUAGUAAACCUCCUCAAAGAUCUGAACGUCAAAACCCAACAAAUUACAUUAUAACCCAAAAAUUCAGCACUUAAGCUUAACUUUCCUCAAUAUCAAUGUCAACUUCACCUUCUAAUACUCAAAUCUGGUGAAGUUAGGUUCCAAAUCCAGGGGAGAGUGAUAGCACACAAAGCUUAGGUAGCAAUUCCAGCUCCCUCCAAAGAUUGCAUCAAGAAAGUCCAAGAAAACUCACAAUCAGGUCUAAACCACCAGCAGCAAAGAGAAACACGAAAUUGACCAAGCUAACCUCAAUCAAAUUCUGUCAAAUUGGGCUCCACGGAUUCCUCUUGAAGUCUAAAAUCCAACAAACCAAGUUUUACUGCAAUCCGACCUUCCUACGGCGCACACGAGCCGAAACGCCGAAGGUCGCUGCUGGAAAUCUGCAAAAUCAGCACUCCUCAAGCUUAGAAUUGUGGGUUUUGGUGUAAAUUGGGAAGUUUAGAAGGGUUGAAAUGCAAAUUAUGGGUUCUCUGUGAAGAAGGGAGGAAAAGAGCUCACCAGGGACGUACUCCCACUAUUUAUAGGGUGAUAGGAUGAUCCAAUAAACCCCAGGAACAAAAGCUGUUAAACUUCUCACUCUGCAGGAACGGCCACUUUCGGACGCCCAGAACCCCUUUCUGGGCGUCCGAAACAUCCAGGCUGCACAAAUGCUCCCCUUAGGUUCCUCCGCCGGCGGUCUGCUGCGCUCAUAUCCGGCUUCGGCGGAUCUCACCUACCACCAGCCACGUGUCAGGUUAAACGAUACUCACGAGGUGAACUUUCGGACCCACUUCCGAGCGCCCGAAACCAGGAUCCGAAUUGGUUUCCAGUUCUGCUCAGUUCUGCACUCAAGUUCUGGGCGACCCAAAACCUAUUCUAGGUGCCCGAAUUUAGCAAAACUCCAGUUUUGCUUAUUUGAGUGCGUCGAGUCCAUUUUUGCAUCUAUUUCGUGCAGAAUUGACUCCGACUCAGUCCGACACUCUCCAGGUGUGUCGACCAGUUACUAACACUGUUGUCAAUUCUAUCCAAACCUCAGGAACACUACACCAACAUUGUCCAAAGGGGAAAGGAAAGGUGCUGGAUUAGGGUUGUAUGAGGAGAAACCCUAGAAACUCUCUUAUAUAGCAACGAGUAAAUCACACGUAACUCCCUCAAACCGUGACAUUUUCAACCGAGACCCUGACCAUGAAUGUAUGACAGUCUCGCGCCACGACCCACCGAGUUUCAUGAAAUUUCGCGCAUAAAAUAUAGGGGCUUUCGUGUGAAAUAUGAAAAUGAUCAAUUUGAUCCUUCCUCGAUAAACACGUGAUAUCUAGCGAUCUGUUCGUCGGAUUUUCGAACGGGUUGUGCCGGCACGUUUAGCAUGAUUGAGACAUCGAAUCCAUGAUUUUGUUUCAUUCUAUUUUGUUAUCGAUUAGCAGCGAAAUCCAACCUCUCUCCGAUUCUCCAAAACCCUCUUUCUGAUAAUGGGUCACUAUGAACGAAGACCCCUAAAAUAUAACGAGUGCUUAUGUAAUUGAAUUACACACAAAAACACUGUCAACAAAGCAUUUAGCUACACAGCCAAAUUCUCAGUCCUCACACACACACACGCACACACACAUAUAUAUAUAGUCGGACUACUAUACUCUUAUGAGUAUAGUCCCCUUUGUACUCAUAUAUUUUUUGCCGUUAGAUCUAUUUCUUUGAUCAUUUCCACCCGUUAUUUCAUACUAUUCAACCAACUAUCCACUCAACCCUAUGGGACCACUUUUAACCUAAUCGGGGACCACUAUCAUCCUAGCCGCACAUCUCUUCAUCCAAUGGUCGAAAACUUAUGAGUACAAAGGGGGCUAUACUUAUAAGAGUAUAGUAACCCUAGCCUAUAUAUAUAUAUAUAUAUAUAUAUAGAGAGAGAGAGAGAGAGAGAGAGAGAGAGAGAGAGAGAGAGAGCUAGGCUGGUAUACUAUCGGUAGCACGGAGGUCUUCGUGCUACUAAGUUGUUUUCAAUGAUGCGGCUUCCAAAUUGACGAUUGGCCCCGUUAAACUUGAUCUACACUAUUAAAAGUAUUUGGAACCUAAAUUUCAUAAUUUUUCGACAUCAUUUGGCUAGUGAUCAAAAGGCCUUAAAAUUGACAAUUUUAAUGGUUGAUGUGAUGCAUUUGUGAAUUUAACGGUGUAAAACAAUCCAAAUCUGAUGAAAUUUUUGUAGAAAAUUUUUUUCACUAUUUAGAGUAAGAUCAAUGCCUCUGAUUUUAAAUUCAAGUCUUUUAUCAUCAUUUUUUAUGAGAUUUUUAUUUUUUGCUGUUCAUUUUUAAACUACUCAUUUGAUAGGUAAAUGACGCCGAAAAAUUAUGAAAUUUAGUUUUCAAAUACUUUCAAUAGUGUAGAUCAAGUCUAAUAGAGUCGAUCGUCGAUUUGGAAGCCACAUCAUUGAAAACAACUUGGUAGCAUGGAGACCUCCGUGCUACUAAUAGUAUGCCAGCCUAUAUAUAUAUAUAUAUAUAUAUAUGUAUGAGUCUAGCUAUUAUGUUAUCAAUAAUACCAAGCACUUAGUGCUGCCAGGUUUUCCACCGUUAGAUCUAUCUCGUUGACCAUUUCCACCCGUUAGAUCAUAUUCAACCAACCACUCACUCAACCCUAGGGGAUCACUAUCAUCUUAACCGCACAUCCCUUAACUAACGGCCAAAAACCUAAUAGCACCAAUGAUUUGGUGUUAUUAAUUAAUAGUAUAGUAGCAUAAUUCUGCAUAUAGAGUAUAUAUGGCAUUCUGUUAAUGUAAUUAAUUUUUAUAGUUGAUUAAUAAUAUUUUUCUCUUUGUUGAAGAGUUGUAUUCUUUGUGUAUCUCUCUUUCCAUUCUUUUUGCUUCUUCUCUCUCAACGCAGCUUAGGCUUGCAUUAGUCCCACUAAAGCCUUUAUCAAAAUGGGCUUUGGCAUGUCCCAUGUUACCAAUGUGUAUGCGUAGCCCAUUUACCGAAGCCACUAUCCAAAAUGUCUUUUCGCUGUCUACUGAAGAUCUUUUCGACGCUACAUAUCUUCCUCACAUUCGUCCUCAUAUCGGUGUCAAAAUUAGGUAACAAAAGUCGCCAUAUCCAAAUCGUGUCAUAUAUAUAUCCCGUAUCCAUGCACACCUUAUGCAACAUAAAAAAAAGAGGUAACUACUGUGAAUCGUAAAGUAUAAUGAAUUUUUAUAUUAGGGCAAUUGCUUAUAUGCCCCUGAAAAUUUUCCGACUUUCCGAUUUACCCUUCUUAGAAGGCUAAUAUUGAAAAUACCCUUUUUACGUUCCAACCUAUUUCUAAUAUACUCCUAGAGUUAAAAUCUGGUAAUUAACUCCGUUAUCUCUGUAAAAUUACUAUUUGCCCUUUCAAAUAUACCUUUCCACAAUCACCGACUUUCUUAUUUGCCCUUAAAGUCAGGGGCACAAAAAGUAUUUUGACUUUUGGUCUUUUCAAAUAUACCCCUCUACCGUUACCAACAUUUCUUAUUUGCCCUUAAGUUAAGGACAAAAUUGGCAUUUUAAUUUUUUUUAACUGUGGUGGAUAUUUAACUCACGUUUAACCCAAGUUAACUUAACAGGAGAUAACUGCGAGGCUAUUUUGCAAUAACGGUGGAACAUAUGAGGGGUAUUUUAGAAAGAAAAAAAAAAGCAGAGGUAAAUCGGAUAUUUUCAAACGUAUGAAGGGUAUAUAGGCAAUUAUCCCUUUUAUAUUUGAUAAGUACUUUAAAAGGUUAGGGACUGAAUUAACAAACUCAUUUAGUAUAAAUAAAAGAGCAAUGCUAUAUAUACACACCGGAUGGGUGCAUAUCCUACACCCUACCCAUCAAAUAGGUGGGGUGUAACUUGUACAGCCAGGAUGGGGUGUACAAGUAGCAUAUUUCUAAAUAAAAAGGGGAAAAUGUAUAACAACACAUAGGGUGUCUGAGCUUUUAAUUUUUGGUAAUUAUACUCUUAAACUUUAUCGAUAGUUCAAUAGGCUCAUCUUCUUAACUAAAGUUAUUAAUUACACAAUAUUUUGGUUUUGUGUAUUUCAUAUAGUGUUUUGAAGUUUAUUUUUGUAUUUUAACAUAUAUGUAAAAAAUAAAAAAAAAAGAUUUAAUCUAUUACUCGAUCGUCGAACUUAAUUAUCAAAAUUCAAAGAAAAGAAUAAAUUUCUUUAUAUUUUAAAGUUUUACAGGAUUAUAUGUGCGACAUCUAAUCACAAAUGCUUUCUAAUUAGUAAGUUACUUAAAUAGAGAGUUCUAUUAAACCAUUUGAUAAAGUUUAGAAAAUGUUAUUGCUAGAAGUAUAUGAUCGUAUUUGCAAUCAAGAGGUCUCUAUACAUUUUUCCCAAUAGAAAGUUAAGUGCGCACAUAAGCUGACAUAUAAUCUAAAAUAAAGGUCAGAAAACAUUGAAACAUAAGCCGACAAAACACCAGUAAUCUUCUUAAUUUCCUUCUUUCUUCCCUUUCAUUAUAGUGUGCAGAAGUCAGCUGGGUUUUUCUUUUCCAUCUUUAUGGAUUGAUGACAUUAUAUAUAUUACGGCCAUUACAUAAUAAAAUAUAGCAGAUGAAGUAGUGCUCAGUAAAUUCAUUCAUGUAUGACCUUACAUAUCACUCUUCUUUUUUUUUAGCCCUUUUUAUCAGCAAAGUUCCAGGAGCACUGAGCUAAAGUGGCAACUGAAUCCAGACACAAUGGCGGCCGGAUUCAAUCCGCAGAUUCAGUAAUCAGAGAAAGGUGACCACUGCAGCUCCAGUGAAGAGAUUAGACAUGCAGUUAGUGGUGCAGUUAGGAACAAUCACAAGUAUGUUAAAAGCGAUAGAUGUACAUUAAAAAUAUGAACUCUAAAUCAAGAUGAAAUGCGUGUCGAUUUCUAAAUUACGGUUAGAAAUGAGCGCAGGGACUGGCGCUUCCUUCAGAUAGAGCUUCUUACAAGAUUAUAUGGAUAAAUUAAUAGUUACUCAUACAUACUUAGAUGCAAAUUAUACAUAACUAUAUAUUAAGACAUUGAUACAUUUUUUUUCAAAAAGAUACUCUUCUUUAAUAAGAAAGCAACGUAUAGGACAUGUAUAUUGCAGCUUGGCAUAAUUAGAUUAAUUUGGUCUAGUUUUUUGUGUUUUAAAUAUCGGGAAAUUAAUUAAACCAUGUCUUUUCUUCUAUUUUUUCCCUUCUUUUCCAUGGUUUUUCAAAGAGUUUUUCAGGCGACGAACCAAGUGGACACAAGCUAGAUUGUGCUUACAAACAGUUAAUUUCAUGCCACAGAUGUUAGGAUUAAAAGCAUGCUAAUUCAGUUACAUUAAUUGCACAAAUUUGUUUCAUUAAUGUUUUCUAUUUUAUCAGAUUAAGUACUUUAUUUUUCUGUUUCUUUUUUUUGAGAGAUAGGUAGUAUGCUCCUGCUUUAUUUAUUUUAUUUAGAAAGAAACUUAGCUGAAAAUGUGAAUCAAUUAGGAUUCGAACUUGAGACCUCGAAUACCAACCACCAAACCCUUUGUCAGCUUCAUUUAUUUCUUUUUCUUUAUAAACAAAAUUUACAUGUUUUGAAACAUAAAAUUUACUAUCACAACUAGGGCCUGCUUGGCUAUAUUGUAGGGUGUAGCACAUACUUUUUUAUGAAGUUUUAUUUAAAAGGUACUAUUUAGAACAACAAGAUACUAAAUUGUCACAAAUUAACUAGCUAUUUCUCUUUUUAGCAAAAUUAGAAGCUAGUUCUAAACUAGAUAUAUUUUUACAUUUACUUAUCAAAAUAAAUUUUUUUGCUAGCUAUAGCAAAAUUAAUGUUAUAUUUUGUUUAGAUUUGUAGUUAUCUAAAUUGAAGUUAAAUCCUAAUCUAGAUAGGAUUAGAUAUAAUUUAGAAUUAAUUUGGCAUAUAUGGAUUAUAAGUAGGAAUGUAAUUCUAAUUGAAUUAGGAUUAGACUCUAGUUAGAGACAUGUACUAUAUAUACAUGCUACAGCAAAGUUAAUGAUGCCGCGACCAAAUUAAGAGCCAUGCUAAUUAAUUAAGUAAACAUCAAGGAAGAGUGGUCCGUACGGGUGAGAGGAGUCGAGCCGCUUAUUUGGAGUCGCCUGUACCGAUGCGGAUCUCGGCGUUUCGGAUCUAAUUAAGUUUUGGUUCUUCGGGAGAUUUUUCUUUGUACUCCACCUUUCGACAUUAAUAAAUUAUUAUUUGCUCCGUCUUCGCCCGUGGACGUAGGCUGGUGGCCGAACCACGUAAAUAUUGGUGUGCUCUUUCUUCUUAUCUUUUUUUUUUCCUGCAUUAAGUUAUUUUUCUGGAUCUAUUUUUCGCCGUUCCGAUUUAACAAACUGGUAUCAGAGCCUUUCUAUUCCCUUUGAGGAUUAAGAUGACGACGAAGUUCGAGAUUCAGAAAUUUGACAGAACCAACAGUUUCGCAUUAUAGCAAGUCAAGAUGCGUGCUAUAUUAACACAACAAGGAUUGCAGAAGGCACUGUUGGAAAAAGAAAAGAUGUCUGAUUCUUUGAAGCUGGAGCAGAAGGAGGAGAUUGAUGAUAAAGCUCUGACGGCAAUACAAUUAUAUAUGUUUAUUCGAUAAGGUAUUGCGCGAGGUCUUGGAUGAAAAGACCGCUGGGUUUUGGCUUAAAUUGGAGUCUAGUCUCUCACCAACAAGCUAUAUUUGAAGCAACUUCUCUUCAUGUUGCGCAUGGCAGAAAGUACCUCUAUUAAGUUGUAUUUAGAUAAAUUUAAUUCUAUUAUUAUGGAUCUCAACUCGAUAGACAUUAAAAUCAAGGAAGAAGAUGAAGCCCUUUUAUUAUUAUGUUCUUUACCGCCCUCUUACAAGAAUUUUCGUGAGACCUUCUUGUUUGGACGAGAUACUCUAUGUCUCAAUGAUGUUAAAUUCUCUUUACUUUCAAAAGAAAGAAUUGACAUGCAGAUAAGCAACGAGACAAGUGGAGCUUUAGGACAAGGUUUGGUUGCUAGAGGGAGGUCUCGGGAGAACGGUUCCGGUAAUAGAGGUACAUCUAGAUCAAAGUCAAAGCAUAGAAAUUUGAUUUGUGGUUAUUAUAAGAAGAAGGGUCACAUAAAAGCUUAUUGUUUCAAGUUAAAAAAUAAAGAGCAGCGGAAGAAUAACGGUGAUAAGAAUCAAAGUCAGAAACACAUCAAUACUGAAGCAGAAGCAAGUGUUGCAGCAGGAGAAUCAGAUAAAAAUAAUAUCGUCUUCAUAGUUACGAAUAAGACAUGCAGACAUGAUG
rnacentral:lncRNA from 1 species